rnacentral:lncRNA from 1 species
CUUAUGACAGCAAAAGGGAAACAUCAGCUCCGGGGAGCCCCCAUGUAAAUGGGGAGUUGAAAGAAAGAUCAGGAAUAAUGGAACGAGAACAUUUUCACGAAGCACAAUCACAGAAGAACAGAAUGUCCUGAUGUUUGGCUGACCACAGGGAAUGUCAGGAUGCCAAAAAUCUCCUUUGGGACAUUAGAUAUGCCUUGAAUUUCACCACUACAAGUUCUACCAUCAGGGAAAACCACUA